UGGCGGCGUGCUUAACACAUGCAAGUCGAACGAUGAACCAUUCGGUGGGGAUUAGUGGCGAACGGGUGAGUAACACGUGGGUAAUCUGCCCUUCACUCUGGGACAAGCCUUGGAAACGGGGUCUAAUACCGGAUAUGAGUCGUGGUCGCAUGGUCGUGACUGUAAAAGCGUCCGGCGGUGAAGGACUGAGCCCGCGGCCUAUCAGCUUGUUGGUGAGGUAGUGGCUCACCAAGGCGACGACGGGUAGCCGGCCUGAGAGGGCGACCGGCCACACUGGGACUGAGACACGGCCCAGACUCCUACGGGAGGCAGCAGUGGGGAAUAUUGCACAAUGGGCGAAAGCCUGAUGCAGCGACGCCCGCGUGAGGGAUGACGGCCUUCGGGUUGUAAACCUCUUUCAGCAGGGAAGAAGCGUGAGUGACGGUACCUGCAGAAGAAGCGCCGGCUAACUACGUGCCAGCAGCAGC
rnacentral:rRNA from 1 species